GAGAGUGACGAGAUCCAUUACUCCUGACCGUAGGAUAAACCAUCGAGUCAAGCUGUUGUGACGUAAGCCCAGGUGAGGUAUUUUGGGAAUGAAGACGCCGAGGCGUUCCCAAGGAGUGCCGAGGAUGCCGAGGUGUUUCGAGAGGGUACCAAAGAUGCCGAGGCAUGUUAAGGACGAGGCGAUUCCGUUUAGUAGUGGCGAGCCGUGACGAGGCGUUUCGAGAAGGUUAUGCCGAGCUGAAUGAACGGCAAGGCGUUUUGAGAGAAAGUCGAUGCCGAGCCAUUUUGUUAACGACGAGGCGUUUCAAGAGAGAGUUAAUGCCGAGCCGUUUCGUUAACGACAAGGCGUUUCAAAAGAGAGUUAAUGCCGAGCCGUUUCGUUAACGACGAGGCGUUACUAUGUUAAGAUGUCGGCUGAAUGCUCGGGUAUCCCAACCGUUGGUCUUCCAAAAGAAAAUUCCUGAUCUAUUGGCGCGUGCAACCGACGCAGUACGAGCCAGCUAAUUCACC
rnacentral:lncRNA from 1 species